AUACGUAGGGGGCGAGCGUUGUCCGGAAUGAUUGGGCGUAAAGGGCGCGUAGGCGGCCCGGUAAGUCUGGAGUGAAAGUCCUGUUUUUAAGAUGGGAAUUGCUUUGGAUACUGUCGGGCUUGAGUGCAGGAGAGGUAAGUGGAAUUCCCAGUGUAGCGGUGAAAUGCGUAGAGAUUGGGAGGAACACCAGUGGCGAAGGCGACUUCCUGGACUGGAACUGACGCUGAGGCGCGAAAGUGUGGGGAGCAAACAGGAAUAGAUACCCUGGUAGUCCACACUGUAAACGAUGAAUGCUAGGUGUAGGGGGUAUCGACCCCUUCUGUGCCGCAGUCAACACAAUAAGCAUUCCGCCUGGGGAGUACGGCCGCAAGGUUGAAACUCAAAGGAAUUGACGGGU
rnacentral:rRNA from 1 species